CAGUAAAUUUGACUGCUUAUAUAGGGAAAUAGGGGUAUUAAUUUCUCAACAAAAACAGCCUACAAUAUAACAAUUGAUAUAUAUUCUAAAAGAUGACCAUGAAUACAGCAGGAAAUGAUAAUAACAUCUUUGGUAUCUGUUGAUAUGUAAAUGUUCUAAUGCAGUAAACUGUCAGGAAACAGCAGUUUAUUUUCGUCUUUUUGGUGUUUAGACAUACCAAAAGUGAUGCUCUUCAAUUUAAAAACCGAUAAAGGUUGUAACCAGCUGGUAAUGUUUUGACAGAGAAAUGAACUUCUGUUGUAUAUUUGUAUACAUAAUUGAACAUUUUGAUAAGAUUUAAGAAAAGUACAUAACUUUGUGGUGUUCGGGAAACUUAUUUCCCUCACCAGGAGAUUGUUGCAUACAUGUACGGGUGAUCACUUCCAGACAGAGGUAGUUACAAUAUCUGUACGGGAAUGAAGAUUAUUUAUAAGACUGAAAUUAUUGUAUUAUUUGCUGGAAAUGUGGAAUAUGAGGAAUUUAAAGCCAUUCAUAAAAGAUACAUCAGAUGACAGACUUACAUAUAGAGGAGCCUAUAAUUAGAGAAAUGGAUCAACUUGAUUUUGAAGUUAACCUACUGCAUUAAUAUGAAAAUUCAUAAGUGACUGAGCUUAAAGAAAAUCACACAUGAAACUGUAACCAGUUUGGGAGACUCAUACAACAGAACAUUUCAAUACCUAUUAAGAUUUUUAUGUAUAUGUUUGACUUUUGGUAAUAUUUUGGAAGUUACUUUAGUAAUUGAGAGACCUCAAUGUUGAAAAUGACAAUUUUGAUAGAGGACAAUUUUAAGAAUAUCAACUUAGUUGUUUAUGAAUCUUUAUCUUUUAAAAUAUUACUGGGUGUCUGAAAGAAUAUUUCAAAAUUUUCUGAAACUAUUUAGAUAUUUAUCAUGUUUCAUGUGUUUAUAUAGGCAAAUAUUUAUACAUGUCAUUUAUGUUAUGCAAGGGUUUAUAUGAAUUUCUAAAAAGAUGUAUAUAUAUUUGUUGAUAAAAUAAGUUCCAAAUUAUUACAGAGUAACAGAAAAUGGGAUCAAUUUAUAUUAAAACAAAUCUGUUAUAAGGGAAUGAAAAGUCAAAAAUUGUAUUUUUUAAAAUAAUUGUGUUAACAUUGUUGUGCUAUUUAGAAAUAUGUACACAAAAAAAAAACUUUAAUAUAAGUAUCAAUGUAGUA